rnacentral:rRNA from 1 species
UACAGGGGGUGCAAACGUUGCUCGGAAUUAUUGGGCGUAAAGCGCGCGUAGGCGGCUACUUAAGUCGGAUGUGAAAGCCCUUGGCUCAACUGAGGAAGUGCACCCGAAACUGAGUGGCUAGAGUACGAAAGAGGGUCGCGGAAUUCCCGGUGUAGAGGUGAAAUUCGUAGAUAUCGGGAGGAACACCGGUGGCGAAGGCGGCGACCUGGGUCGAUACUGACGCUGAUGCGCGAAAGCGUGGGGAUCAAACAGG